rnacentral:rRNA from 1 species
GAAAGCAAAGAAGGGCAUAUGGAGGAUGCCUAGGCUCUCGAAGGCGAAGAAGGACGUGAUAAGCUGCGAAAAGCUCCGGGGAGUGGCAAAUACACCGAGAUCCGGAGAUGUCCGAAUGGGGCAACCCGUCGAGGCUCGACCUCGACACACGCGAACGCGUGGGCGAACGUGGGGAACUGAAACAUCUAAGUACCCAUAGGAAGAGAAAAUAACAAUGAUUCCGCAAGUAGUGGCGAGCGAACGCGGAAGAGCCCAAACCGCAGGCGUAGCAAUGCGCCGUGCGGGGUUAUAGGACCGGCGCCACGAAGAACCGAAUGCUAGCCGAACCGACUGGAAAGUCGGGCCGCAGCGGGUGACAGCCCCGUAGGCGAAAGCGUUCAGCGAUUCCAGCCGGCACCUGAGUAACCCGGAGCACGAGGAAUUCCGGGCGAAUUGGCGGGGACCAUCCCGUAAGGCUAAAUACUAACGAGAGACCGAUAGCGAACCAGUACCGUGAGGGAAAGGUGAAAAGAACCUCGAACAGAGGAGUGCAACAGACCCUGAAACCAUAUGCCUACAAGCGGUCGGAGCGGCUUCGUGCCGUGACGGCGUGCCUUUUGCAUAAUGAACCUACGAGUCACCGUCGUUGGCAAGGUUAAGGACAAGGAUGUCCGGAGCCGAAGCGAAAGCGAGUCCGAAGAGGGCGUCGGAGUCAGCGGAGGUGGACGCGAAACCAAGUGAUCUACCCUUGGGCAGGUUGAAGGACAGGUAAAACUGUCUGGAGGACCGAACCGGUAAGCGUUGAAAAGCUUUCGGAUGACCUGAGGGUAGGAGUGAAAGGCCAAUCAAACUUGGAGAUAGCUCGUACUCCCCGAAAUGUAUUUAGGUGCAGCCUCGGAGAGAAUCUGACGGAGGUAGAGCGACUGAUAGGAUGCGAGGGCUUCACCGCCUAUCAAGUCCUGACAAACUCCGAAUGCCGUCAGACAUAUCCGGGAGUAAGGGCGCGGGUGCUAAGGUCCGCGUCCGAGAGAGGAACAACUCAGACCAUCGGCUAAGGUCCCGAAAUCCGGGCUAAGUUGAAGACAAUAACGAGGUGGGAUUGCAUAGACAGCUAGGAUGUUGGCUUGGAAGCAGCCAUUCAUUUAAAGAGUGCGUAACAGCUCACUAGUCGAGUGAUCCCGCGUGGAUAAUAAUCGGGCAUAAGUCCGGUACCGAAGCCAUGGAAUCACGCUUUGUGCGUGAUUGGUAGGGGAGCAUUCCGUACAGCGACGAAGGUCGGUGGCGAUGCCGGCUGGAGCGUACGGAAAAGCAAAUGUAGGUAUAAGUAACGAUAAUGGAGGCGAGAAACCUCCACGCCGAAAGACCAAGGUUUCCUGAUCAACGCUAAUCGGAUCAGGGUAAGUCGGGACCUAAGGGGCAGCCGCGAGGCGGACCCGAUGGAAGAAACGGUAAAGAUUCCGUUACUGUCGCCGGGAGUGAAGCGGGGACGGAGGAGUGACACCGCCGCGGACUGACGGAAUAGUCCGUUGAAGAGUGUAGGUAUUCGGAGGCCAGGCAAAUCCGGUCUUCGAGCUGAACUUGACAGUACUGCGAGCCUUCGGGCAAGCAGACAGCGCGGGUAAGCAGACUCCCAAGAAAAUCCGCUAAACAUAUGUCGGCGACACCCGUACCGAAACGGACACACGUGGUCGGGUAGAACAUACUAAGGCGCUCGAGAGAUUCACCGUUAAGGAACUAGGCAAAUUGACCUCGUAACUUCGGGAUAAGGGGUCCCACAGCGAUGUGGGCGCAGAGAAUAGGUCCAGGCAACUGUUUAACAAAAACACAGGGCUGUGCGAAAUUUAAAGAUGAAGUAUACAGCCUGACACCUGCCCGGUGCCGGAAGGUUAAGAGGAGAAGUCAUCGCAAGAGAAGCUUUGAAUUGAAGCCCCGGUAAACGGCGGCCGUAACUAUAACGGUCCUAAGGUAGCGAAAUUCCUUGUCGGGUAAGUUC